ensembl:lncRNA
GAAAAAAAUGACAAAUGUUAAUGGAUAACUUAGUCUACUAGACAACAUUGUCUUUGUUUGUAAAACCACUAACAAGACUAAGAUAUCCAGGGAAUGGACAAAAGUGGUUAAACAUACUCUAGGCCUCAAAACUAGACACAUAAACCUGGCAAUCAACGAUUACAGAUGAGCUCUUUACAUCACAGUACAACAAAUAACUAACAAUAAUGAUAAAACAGCAACAAAUUAAGGCAGCAAACAGCAAAACAAUAAUCAUAUAACAUUAACUGCAUAAUAUAUACAAGCUGCAAUGCAUGCUGGGAACUCCCAAAACUUUCACAUUUUAUCAGUGUGAAAUUCUUUAUUCGGACAACUGUGUUUGACUAGUUUGGGGUACAUUUGUCAGUCUGACAAGGGUUUUUGUGUAGUUUCAAGAAGUAAAAUACUUGAAAAAGUCACAAGCGAGAUGAAAGCAGUGCAAGCAAUUAACUGAAACAAAAACAAGGCAAACAUGUCGGUCACAUGUUGACCAUUUACAAUGACUAGCUAGAAUGCAGUUUCAAGAAAACAAUGUGUUAAAACACCUUUCGCUUUGCUUCGACGUCUUUGAGAUAAACGCUUCACUCUCAUUUCAGGCUUGAUUUUUUUAUCCGACGUGUCAGCUUUGAGGAGGCCUGGAGACUGGAUUCAGACGGAGCAGGUACCUCCGUGGCGGCGCAAUUAUCACACGGUGGGACUCCGUUGCUUUUUUCAACGGGUUUCUUUGUAGCCGAUUGCGAAUCGAUGCACGGCCUGUCUUUUUGAGCUUUUCCGGUGCAAAAGGACAGUGCGUCUUCAUGGUGAGUUUCUGGCGGGAUUUCGAUAACGGGUCGGAGCAUCGGAGCGGUUUUGGACACGUUCCCUCAGCGGGGAUCCAAUCAGGCUGCCACGGGACGCAGGCUGUCCGCUGGGGGCGUCCACACGGAGUCUUUUAGAGACGAGAUUAUUGAGCUCCUCACUACAGGUUUAGAUCAAUCCGCCUCUUUUAAGUGCACACGCAACAGAGCGGCGUUCAGAACUCACACACCUGCAGAGGAAGCGCUCUUUCAGUGCUCAGACUUAAUGGAGCUCUCGCAUGUGUUGCAUCGAAGUAUCAAAGAGGAUUCCCUUCAAAUUCUAAAAAAUAAAAAUAGACACAAAGAGUUGAGAUACAGUAAGAGGAAGUGGGAGAAUUUGAUCAGGCAGUUGAUAAUGAGAUCACUCAGAGCAUUUUAUACUGUAAACCUGUGAAGAGUUUGAGACAUUGUUGAGAUCUCUUCUGAAAUUCUAGAGAAGUUACUGAGUAAACUUCUGAUAAUGAUAAGCCUCAAAAGUCUCCCUUUCUUACCAUUUUUGUAGGUAAAAACAAAGAAAACAAGUAUAUUAGCACUUCUGGUUCCAUCAUCCUUAAGUCAAUGGGUCAUAAUGACCAAUCUGUAUAAAAAUCAUAAACUUUUGUUGGUCACAGAGCUUAUUUUCUACAGUAAUCCAAAAGCCAAUGGAAAAAUCCUGUUGUGUUUUUUGUUGAGGGAAACAUCCAGGUUAGCCUACAAAAAAAUCCACAGCCCUUAUCUGAAAACUGUCUUUGUUUUUCAGUCUGUUUUGAGAAAUACAGGCAUCGGGAGUCUUUUACCUUGAAUAUGUCCAAUCUAUCCCACUCAAAUAGACACCGCGGCUACCUGAUAUCAGUGUUAUUUAUUGGCUGUGGAGGAGAGUGACAGAUGAGCGAAGCUGGAGACAUGAAGAGAAGCAGAUAAGCAGCUCAUGAUGGAGAGACUAAAGCCCUGACUCGAGCAGAGAGUUCAACAGGAAGAGCUUGAGUAACCCUGACCGCUCACAAUCGACACACCUGUGAGAGAACUAACCACAACCCAACCAGCAGUUACACAGGACACGCUUACAUAACCUGUGUGUUUCCAUGCAUGUCUGCAUGUCACUAAUAAAAAAGAAUGAAAAAGCAGCACCAUGAUAUUCUGUGAAGUGCCAUGUUAUAUUGAAAGUACUUGAAUAAGUGAUGCAUAAGAUCAAUAAAUAGUGUAAGAAAUCUACUGCAUAGUUAUUAUCACUCACUGAGAAAAUCUUUGAAAAUCUUUCAGAUGACACACAGUAACUCCCAAAUAUUACAAAGUUCAUGUUCACAAAGAGGUGAUGUGUGGAAGCUUAUUUUCAGCACAGGAUAAAAAUAAUAAUAAUUGCAACUGAGUUGUAUCUCACAAUUCUGGAUUUUUUCUCGCAAUUCUGUGAAAAAAAAAAAAAAGAAGUCAGAAUUAUGAGAUAAAAGUUCGUAAGAAAAUAGCAGAACUGCAAGAUGCAAAGUCAGAAUUAUAAGAUAUAAACUCGCAAUUACAAUCUUAAAACAUUUAAUUGCAAGACACAAAUUUGCAAUUGUGAGAAGAGAAGUCAGAUUUGUUAGAUUUAAAGAAAAAUCACAAUUACCGGUUUAUUAUGUGCUGGGAAAAUAACUGAAUUGCAAUGUAAAGAUAGAAUUCUGAGCAAAAAUAUAGUAAAAAUUGCAACACUAAAACUCAUAAUUAAGUACUUUUAAUUUGCAAUUGCAAGAUACAAACUCAAAUGUGACGGGAAAAAAUAUUGUGAGAUUAAAAAGUUGCAUUGCCCUUUUUAUUUAUUUUGUUUAUUAAAACAAAAACACACAAUUGUGAGAUGUAAACUCUGAAUUCUGAGAAAAAAAGUCAGAAAUGCAAGAUGUAAACUCGCAAUUACCCUUUUUAUUUUUAUUCUUUACCGGAAGAUACAAACUCACAAAGUCACAAUUACCUUUUUUCACAUUUUUAUUUGGUGGCAGAAAUAAUCU